rnacentral:lncRNA from 1 species
AACAACGAUGUGGGCUUUGUAAUGGACAAACAUCAGCCGUCUUAAUGACGUCACGACGCUUAAUGUUUUGCACAGUAAUUAUAGCAUAAGGUUGAAAAUAUAUCCUGUGCCAAAUAUUAUGCUGCUAAAGAGUUAACACGUAUUUCUCAAUCUGUUCAAACGGCAAUAUUGUAGAAGUGCCAAAGGAUAACGAAGGACAAUUCAUUUUGUCCGAAAAUUAAACAUGCAACUUCACUUAUAUUGAGAGAACGGACAGGGAAAGCAAAACCGACAGACGACAAAAAUAGUAAGAAAUAAAAAUUUAAAUCUUCAACAAGUUACGAAAGUGAUAGAAAAUCCUAACCUUUUACUUAAUACUAAUAAA